UAUAGACCUGCACCAGCUGCAUCCAAUAAUGAAGGGGAGGAGUCCAGGUCGGUCGUAUCCAAUCGUCUGCACCUUGGGUGAAGGGUAGCCAUCUUGCCUGCAGAUUUCCUGUACAUGGAGAGACAGGACACAAACCAACACAAACACCCCCAAAACGUAACACGCCCCCCCCAAAAAAAGGUGCAAAACUAUCCAGGAUUGCACCAUCCAUUCUAUCACAGUAAAACAUACUACAAACACCAAAACAACACUAGUGUGCACGAGACAACGCAUCUGCAACAAUGUUGUCCGAUCCCUUUUUAUAUUUGAUGCACAAGUUGUAACUCUGCACAAUUAGCGCCCACCUCAUGAGCCGGCGGUUCUGAUUGUACAUCCUGUGGAGAAAAAUUAGCGGAUUGUGGUCAGUAAACACCACCACAGGGACAACACUAGACCCGACGUACACUUCGAAAAAUUGAAGGGCUAAUAACAAAGCCAAUGUCUCCUGCUCGAUGGUGGAGUACCUUGUCUGACAGUCACUGAAUUUUUUUGAAAAGAAACAAACGGGUCUAUCGAUCCCUUCACCGUCCUCCUGUAAGAGGACGGCGCCUGCGCCCACGGCGCUAGCGUCAACCUCCAUUUUAAAAGGUUUGCUAAAAUCAGGGGCUGCAAGCACCGGGGCAGUACACAGGAGUAGCUUCGCGGAAUUGAACGAAUGCUCACAUUCCGGAGACCACUUAAACGGAACCUUGGGUGACAAAAGCGAAGACAGGGGGGCUACCACCGUCGAAAAGUUUUUGCAAAACGUACGGUAAUAACCCACCAUACCUAGGAAACGGCGAAGCUCACGGCGCGUAACAGGGGCAGGGAAACUAGCUAUGGCUUCCACCUUGCUAGCUAACAACCGAACCUGCCCAUGUCCCACCUGUUUUCCAAGGUACGUCAUGAAACAAGGUACGCCCCCGCCUGCAGCGCAACAGUGGCCACUGAAGAGACAGCGGGCUGGAUGGGCUUAUUGGAGAGAGUGUUAGAAGG
ensembl:lncRNA